AAUGCGGUAUUUAUAGAUGAAGAAAUCCAAAGCUACCGCAUCUUCAAACCCUAACGGAGCCGUGACCGUCGCCGGAGUUGGAGGAAGACCCACGGGAAAGGAGGAGCCAACCACCCACGAAUCUCGCAACGUUCUCCAACGUUCUCAAGAUUCCACACGAUCAGCAGAGCGAAGGCGUGAGCGUUCCCAGUCGUGCGGCUACGAUUCUGGGUGGAAGGGGCAACGUCGCGCGAUAACCUCGGAGCAAAUCCGGUCUUCGUUGAACCUCCGUGAUCUCCUCCAACGGUCACUGAAGAAAACUAGGGUUUUACCACUUACUCUGUUUUCGUUUCACACACCUUGUUUUUCGUUUUUAUUUUGCUAUAUUAGGUUCUUGUUUUACAACAAUCCCCUACAUAUUGCAAAAGAUAAAACAUAGAAAUAUUGAAAGAAAUUAAUAUUGGGUUUAUCUAAGAUGUAAUGCAUCAGAACUGGUAUAGCAAGCUAUAUGAACCAGUCUUAGAUUGAUGAACGUAACACACAGUGUAGUUGGUAUAGCAAGCUAUAUGAACCAAGACACUUAGUAUGUGUUAGAGGUUUAUCAAUCACAAUACACCCCCACAUUACUUGCUGUUANNNNNNNNNNNNNNNNNNNNNNNNNNNNNNNNNNNNNNNNNNNNNNNNNNNNNNNNNNNNNNNNNNNNNNNNNNNNNNNNNNNNNNNNNNNNNNNNNNNNNNNNNNNNNNNNNNNNNNNNNNNNNNNNNNNNNNNNNNNNNNNNNNNNNNNNNNNNNNNNNNNNNNNNNNNNNNNAAAUCGUUAAAACUCUUUUACCUCUAAUUUUUAACCACAAAGUUUAUCCUCUCGAUAAUGCAGUAACUAGCACUUUCACACACACCAUAAGAAUGGACAAAAUUGAAUUAAAAUCAAUAUGAGUGCUAGCAAAACUAACAAGUGACUUGUUUUUACCCAUAUGAACCUUAUUCAUGGGAUCUCCAAUCACAAAGGUUGGGUUUCCAUCACUUGUUUGUUUGCAAGUGGCUUAAGUCCCAUUCCCCUCGAUGUUUCUAAAAUCAUUUUUCUCCCUAUGGGUUUUGUCAGAGGAUCUGCUAGAUUCCGUUCUGACUUGACAUAGUCAAUAGAAAUCGUUCCACUCUUUAACAGUUGUUUCACCAAAUUGUGUCUCAAUUGUAUAUGUAUAUUCUUUCCAUUAUAGCUUUUAUUUUUAGCUAUAGCUAUUGCCGAUUGACAAUCACAAUGCAUUGAUACAGAUGGGGUUGGUUUCAUUCCUAAAGGAAUGUUUGCUAAGAAGUUUUUCAACCACUCAGCUUCACUACCAGCCAUUUCUAGAGCAACAAACUCAGAUUCCAUUGUUGAUCUUGCAAUAAUAGUUUGCCUAGCUGAUCUCCAUGUAACUGCACCACCCCCAAGUGUAAAUACAUAACCACUAGUGGAUUUUGUCUCAUCUGAAUCAGAGAUCCAGUUAGCAUCACUGUACCCUUCUAGCACAGCGGGAAAUCCACUAUAUUUAAUGACAUAAUCCAUUGUACCUCUCAAGUAUUUCAUGAGUCUCGCAAGUGCUUCCCAAUGAUCCUGACUAGGACAUUGAGUGUAUCUACUCAAUCUCCCUACUGCAUAAGCAAUAUCUGGUCUAGAAAAGCUCAUUAAAUGCAAUAAGCUCCCAAUUAUCUGGGCAUAUUGAGUUUGAGAAAUAGAUUCUCCUCUGUUCUUCUUUAAUUUAGAGUUAGCAUCAUAACGGGUACUCAAUGACUUAAAGUCAUAGUAACCAAACUUCUUUAGAAGUUUCUCAAUGUAUUUUUCUUGGGAUAGUAAUAUACUAUCUCCCUUCCUUAUGAUUUUAACUCAUAGAAUCACACCUGCUUCACCCAUGUCUUUCAUCUCAAACUUAGAUCCAAGAAACAAUUUUGUUUUAAAAACUAUAUCAUUGCAUGUACCAAAUAUUAGCAUGUCAUCCACAUACAAACAUAUAAUGACAUAUUCACCAUUUUCAAAUCUAGAAUACACACAUUUAUCAGCAUCAUUGGUAGAAAAACCUUCACAAAGUAAAACAUUAUCAAGUUUUUCAUGCCAUUGUUUUGGUGCUUGUUUCAAACCAUACAAAGAUUUUAAAAGUUUGCAUACCUUUUCCUUUUGACCUGAGACUACACAACCUUCAGGUUGAGUCAUAUAAAUUUCCUCUUCUAAUUCACCAUUCAGAAAAGCUGUUUUAACAUCCAUUUGCUGAAUUACUAACUUAUGGAUAGAUGCUAAGGCUAGCAAUACACGGAUAGAGGAAAUCCUAGUAACUGGUGCAAAAGUAUCAAAGUAAUCUAUGUUAUGUUUUUGAGUAAACCCUUUAGCUACUAAUCUUGCCUUAUAUUUCUCUAUGGAUCCAUCAGGAUGGUACUUCUUCUUAAAGAUCCAAACCAAUGGGUUUUGCUCCUUUAGGCAGAUCUACUAAGGUCCACAUAUUAUUUUUCUUAAUUGAAUCAAGCUCAGUUUAAUGGCCUUAUCCCAAUGUUUAGCAUCAGGAGCACUAGUAGCUUCUACAAAACUUAUUGGAUCAUUCUCAACUAGAUAAGUAUAAAAGUCAUCUCCAAAAGAUGUUUCCUUCCUCUGUCUUUUACUUCUCCUAACAUCUUCACUCAAGGUAUCACUAACACUAUCUAUAGGUUGUUCAGAUGUACCACUACUCUUUAGAGGAAAGAUGUGUUCAAAGAACUCAGCGUUUUUUGUCUCUACUAUAGUGUUGCGUUCAAUUAUAUCACUAUUAAGAACUAGAAACCUAUAGGCAACACUAUGUUCUGCAUAUCCUAAGAACAUAUAAUCAGAUGUUUUAGAGCCUAUUUUCCUUUUCUUAGGAUCAGGUAACAUCACUUUAGCUAAACUCCCCCACACUCUUAGGUAUUUCAAAUUAGGUUGAUAACCUUUCCACAACUCAUAGGGUGUUUUACCAGUUUUCCUAUGUGGUAUCCUAUUUUGCAAAAAACACACAGUAAGCAAAGAUUCACCCCAUAAAUUAUCAGGAGCAUUAGAACUAAUAAGCAUGACAUUCAUCAUUUCUUUAAGAGUCCUAUUUUUCCUUUCAGCUACUCCAUUAGACUCAGGUGAAUAUGGUGGGGUUACUUCAUGAAUAAUACCUUCUUUUACACAAUAAUCAUUAAAUAAAACAUAUUCACCACCUCUAUCUGAUCUAAUUCUCUUAAUUUUCUUAUUAAGUUGAUUUUCUACUUCCGCUUUAUAAGUUAAAAACAUGUCAAAAGCUUCAUCCUUAUGUUUAAUUAAAUACACUUUGGUGUAUCUAGAAAAAUCAUCUAUAAAAGUUACAAAAUAAUUUUUACCACCUCUAGACAUGGUUUGUUUUAAAUCAGCAAGGUCGGUAUGAAUUAAACCAAGAAUUUCAGUUUGACGUUCUACAGAGUGACAUGUUUUCUUCGUUAUUUUAGAUUCUACGCAUACAUCACAUUUACUACUUUGUUUGUCAUGCAUGUUGAUUAAUCCUAAUCGUUGCAAUUUUAUAACAUACGAAGAAUUCACAUGUCCUAAUCUAGCAUGCCAUAUAUCAUACGAGUCAACAAUAUAAGUAGAAGAUUUAGAUUCAUUCAUAAUUUCAAAAAUGUUUAAUACAAAAAGGCCUUGAUCAUAAUAUCCCUUUCCCACAAAAACAUUGUUUUUUGUCAUAACAAUCUUGUCAGAUUCAAAUGACACUUUAACCCCAACUUUGCUUAGUAAUGCCACAGAAACCAAAUUAACUCUAAUUGAUGGCACAUGUAGCACAUCAUUCAAAGCUAGAGUUUUACCAGAUAUGAGCUUCAGAAGAACUUUUCCUUUUCCUAGGACAGGAGUUGUCCUGGAGUCACCGAGAUAUACUUGUUCUUCUCCAUCCCUCACACUUGUGUAGGAGGUGAACACAUUUCUGUUUGCACAGAUGUGUCUGGUAGCCCCAGAGUCUACCACCCAUUUGCUCACAUUUGUCACAAGGUUUACUUGUGAAACGACUGCCACAAUAGUAUCUUCCCCUUCGGCUAGAUUUGCCUUAGGAGGAUAGUCGUUUUUAGCCCUAUGUCUGCACUGAGGUGCAUGAUGGCCUGACUUUCCACAGACAAAGCAAUUAGCUUUUUUCUUGAAAGUGGGGUUAGUUCCACUGGGACGAGAGAAUUUGUUAUUAGGUUUCUUUUUGUGAUCAAAUUUUUUCUCGUACCUUUUUGGAACUGGUUUGUCUUCUAUCACGUUUGCUUUGGCAGACAAAGCUUUGGCCUUUGCAGCAGCGCACUCCUUCUUGUUUGCGUCUUCGAUGAUGAUGUGGGUGAUCAAAUCUGAUAGAGACAUAUGUUUCUGUCUGUGCUUCAGUUGUUGUUUGUAAUCUGUCCAAGACUGCGGAAGCUUUUCGAUCAAGAGUUCGGACACGAAUUCAUCUGGCAAUUUUAUGCUUUCAGUUUUGAUAUCUUCAAUCAGCUUGUGAUAUUCGUUUAUUUGGAUUUUGAUAUCUUUGCCUUCGAUCAUCUCCCAGCGGUAGUAAUUUGCAAUUACGAACCUUUGUCUGACGAUGUCUUCGGCAGUAUAUUUGAGGAUAAGAGAAUCCCAAAUAUCUUUCGCAUUCUUAUAAGAAGCAUAAACAUCGAAUAGAUCGUUAGAUAACACACUGAGUAAAGUGUGACGGCAUACCUUAUUCGCAUGGAUCCAGUCGUCAACUUGUUUCGCAGCCGUGGUUGAGUCGGGUUUGGCAGUUGUAAGUGCAUGAGCAACUCCGUACAUGUCCAAUAGGGUGGACACGCGUUCUUGCCAACGUCGGAAGUUUUGACCGGUGAAGACUUCAAUUUUGGAGACGUCCAGAAAUGGUUUCGCAAAAAUGGUUUGCGUUGCGGAAGCAACAUUUGAUGUUCCCGUAGCGGUGUUGUCGUUGUUGUUCGGAUUUUCAGCCAUAAGUCCUUACGAAUGUAGUAUGAUAGGCUUUAAAACGAACAAAAAUGGUUUCCCGAGGCGUGAGUAAUCACUGUCUGUAAGGACUUAUCCGCGGUGUAUUGCGCAAGUCCCCCAGGAUACAACAGGAACUUCCCAGAGAUUUCCGAGGAUCAGAACUAGCAAGUUACUCUUGAUAGAGUAAGAACCCAAUGUAUUCUGAAAAUUAAAUAUAAUAAAGUAAUAUAAUGAAUGAAGAGAGAGAAAGAGAAAAGGUGAAUAAGGGGAGGAAGAAGAAAGGUUGCAGCUUUUAGUUGCUGAAAAAAGAGAGGCAAAGAAGGUGAAGAACCGUGAGUGAGAGUGGUAUCAAGUAAGAGGAUGGAAUGUGGUAUUUAUAGAUGAAGAAAUCCAAAGUUACCGCAUCUUCAAACCCUAACGAAGCCGUGACCGUCGCCGGAGUUGGAGGAAGACCCACGGGAAAGGAGGAGCCAACCACCCACGAAUCUCGCAAAGUUCUCCAACGUUCUCAAGAUUCCACACGAUCAGCAGAGCGAAGGCGUGAGCGUUCCCAGUCGUGCGGCUACGAUUCUGGGUGGAAGGGGCAACGUCGCGCGAUAACCUCGGAGCAAAUCCGGUCUU
rnacentral:lncRNA from 1 species